rnacentral:rRNA from 1 species
CGAACGAACUUCCGUUAAUUGAUUAUGACGUACUUGUACUGAUUGAGAUUUUAACACGAAGUGAGUGGCGAACGGGUGAGUAACACGUGGGUAACCUGCCCAGAAGUAGGGGAUAACACCUGGAAACAGAUGCUAAUACCGUAUAACAGAGAAAACCGCAUGGUUUUCUUUUAAAAGAUGGCUCUGCUAUCACUUCUGGAUGGACCCGCGGCGUAUUAGCUAGUUGGUGAGGUAAAGGCUCACCAAGGCAGUGAUACGUAGCCGACCUGAGAGGGUAAUCGGCCACAUUGGGACUGAGACACGGCCCAGACUCCUACGGGAGGCAGCAGUAGGGAAUCUUCCACAAUGGACGCAAGUCUGAUGGAGCAACGCCGCGUGAGUGAAGAAGGGUUUCGGCUCGUAAAGCUCUGUUGUUAAAGAAGAACGUGGGUAAGAGUAACUGUUUACCCAGUGACGGUAUUUAACCAGAAAGCCACGGCUAACUACGUGCCAGCAGCCGCGGUAAUACGUAGGUGGCAAGCGUUAUCCGGAUUUAUUGGGCGUAAAGCGAGCGCAGGCGGUCUUUUAAGUCUAAUGUGAAAGCCUUCGGCUCAACCGAAGAAGUGCAUUGGAAACUGGGAGACUUGAGUGCAGAAGAGGACAGUGGAACUCCAUGUGUAGCGGUGAAAUGCGUAGAUAUAUGGAAGAACACCAGUGGCGAAGGCGGCUGUCUGGUCUGCAACUGACGCUGAGGCUCGAAAGCAUGGGUAGCGAACAGGAUUAGAUACCCUGGUAGUCCAUGCCGUAAACGAUGAUUACUAAGUGUUGGAGGGUUUCCGCCCUUCAGUGCUGCAGCUAACGCAUUAAGUAAUCCGCCUGGGGAGUACGACCGC